rnacentral:lncRNA from 1 species
GAGGCCACCAAGGUCACUGAGGCUACUAUGGCCACCAAGGCCACCAUGGCCACCAAGGCCACCAUGGCCACCAAAGCCACCGUGGCCACCGUGGCCAGGACAAGGGGACAGAGCCAUGGUUGCCACCAGGAGCAGGGACAGGACCGGGGGACAGGGCAGGGGACAGGACAGGACAGGGGGUGGUGGCCGCGGUUCUUCGCUUUUGGGGAUUUUUUACGUCCCUUUCCCGAUAAUUUUAAUUCUUCCGGAUAAUUAAACUGGAUUUGCCUCAAUCAAAAAAUGAUCCUCUCACUUUGACCCAAAUUAAGGGAUUUGGGGUCGGGUUUAUUUGAUUUAGACCCAAAUUAAGGGAUUUGGGGUCCGGUUUGGGGGAUUUAGACCCAAAUUAAGGGAUUUGGGGUCAGGUUUAUUUGAUUUAGACCCAAAUUAAGGGAUUUGGGGUCUGGUUUGGGGGAUUUAGACCCAAAUUAAGGGAUUUGGGGUCCGGUUUGGGGGAUUUAGACCCAAAUUAAGGGAUUUGGGGUCCGGUUUGGGGGAUUUAGACCCAAAUUAAGGGAUUUGGGGUCCGGUUUAGGGGAUUUAGACCCAAAUUAAGGGAUUUGGGGUCAGGUUUAUUUGAUUUAGACCCAAAUUAAGGGAUUUGGGGUCCGGUUUGGGGGAUUUAGACCCAAAUUAAGGGAUUUGGGGUCCGGUUUGGGGGAUUUAGACCCAAAUUAAGGGAUUUAGGCCUAAAUUAGGAGGUUUAGACCCAAAUUAAGGGAUCUGGAUUCAGGGAUUUCAACCUGAAUUGAAGUUUUUGGGCCUGAAUUAAAGGAUUUUAAUCAGAAUUAAGGAAUUUCAACCUGAAUUAGGAGUUUUCAGCCUGAACUAAGGGAUCUCAAUCUGAAUUAAGGGAUUUCAACCAGAAUCAAGUGAUUAAAACCAGAAUGAGAUGAUCUAAACAAUAAUUAAGCGAUUUAAGCCAUAAUUAAGCGAUUUAAAUCAUAAUUAAGCUAUUUAAACCAGAAUCAAUUUAUUUAAAUCAGAAUUAAUUUAUUUAAACCAGAAUCAAUUGAUUUAUAUCAGAAUUAAGCGAUUUAAACCACAAUUAAGUGAUUUAAGCCAGAAUUAAGCGAUUUAAACCCGAAUUAAGCGAUUUAAACCCGAAUUAAGCGAUUUUAACCCGAAUUAAGCGAUUUAAACCGAAUUAAGCGAUUUAAACCCGAAUUAAGCGAUUUAAACCCGAAAUAAGCGAUUUAAACCCGAAUUAAGU